rnacentral:rRNA from 1 species
UUGUCGUCAGCUCGUGCCGUGAGGUGUUCGGGUUAAGUCCCGCAACGAGCGCAACCCUCAUUGUUAGUUACUACCAUUCAGUUGAGGACUCUAAUGAGACUGCCAACGACAAGUUGGAGGAAGGUGGGGAUGACGUCAAAUCAUCAUGCCCUUUAUGACCUGGGCUACAAACGUACUACAAUGGCCAAUACAAAGAGAUGCGAAGCGGUGACGUGGAGCGAACCUCAGAAAGUUGGUCUCAGUUCAGAUUGAAGUCUGCAACUCGACUUCAUGAAGGCGGAAUCGCUAGUAAUCGCGGGUCAGCAGACCGCGGUGAAUACGUUCCCGGGUUUU